CCUACGGGAGGCAGCAGGGAUGAAUAUUGGACAAUGGGCGCAAGCCUGAUCCAGCCAUGCCGCGUGCAGGAUGACGGUCCUAUGGAUUGUAAACUGCUUUUAUACGAGAAGAAACACCCCUACGUGUAGGGACUUGACGGUAUCGUAAGAAUAAGGAUCGGCUAACUCCGUGCCAGCAGCCGCGGUAAUACGGAGGAUCCAAGCGUUAUCCGGAAUCAUUGGGUUUAAAGGGUCCGUAGGCGGUUUAGUAAGUCAGUGGUGAAAUCUCCCCGCUCAACGGGGAAACGGCCAUUGAUACUGCUAGACUUGAAUUAUUAGGAAGUAACUAGAAUAUGUAGUGUAGCGGUGAAAUGCUUAGAGAUUACAUGGAAUACCAAUUGCGAAGGCAGGUUACUACUAAUGGAUUGACGCUGAUGGACGAAAGCGUGGGUAGCGAACAGGAUUAGAUACCCUGGUAGUCCACGCCGUAAACGAUGGAUACUAGCUGUUGGGUGCAAAACUCAGUGGNGUAGACGAAGUAGAGUAAGUAUACCACCGUACGGGUAGGUACGUUACGCGAAGAAGUAGUAAACGUUAAAGGUUAAAGUUAGUUACGGCGUGAGAGUUGCGACGGACGACGACGAGGGAGGAGG
rnacentral:rRNA from 1 species